rnacentral:rRNA from 1 species
CGCGCAGGCGGUCUGGUAAGUUUGGAGUGACAGUGCUCGGCUUAACUGAGCAAGGCCUUCGAAAACUGUCAGACUUGAGCACUCAAGAGGGACAUAGAAUUCCGGGUGGAGUGGUGAAAUGCGUAGAUAUCCGGAGGAAUACCAAAGGCGAAGGCAGUGUCCUGGGGAGUGUCUGACGCUCAGGCGCGAAAGCCAGGGGAGCGAACA